rnacentral:lncRNA from 1 species
UUAUAUCUCUGUGAUUAUUUACUGUUUUUGUUGUUUAAAAGUUGUUAGGUGUAGCUUGUUAUGUGGUCUUUAAACUCCAAAAGGAAUCAGGUCUAUAUCUAUUGUAGAUCGGGAUUUAUAAGCGGUCAAAGUGGGUUGACCGGCAUUGACCGGCUGUUUUUCAAACCCAGAAAAUAUUCUAAGUGUCCAGAAAAUAUUAUUUUGGAAAAUGUCAGGCCUUAUAUCUCGGUUAUCUUUAAUGUGUUUUGUGUUCUAAAGGUUGAUAUGUGUAGCUUGUUAUGUGGUAUUUAACCUCCAAAAAGAAUCAGGUCCAUAUAUAUUACGGAUUAAGAGUUAUUUAAGGUCAAAGUGGGUUGACCGGCAUUGACCAGAAAAUUCUGGGCAGCCCAGAAUUUUCUAAGUGUUAAUUUUUCUGACAAGGUUUGACCAUACUUUAGAUGCUUGAUUUCUUGUUUUUAUGAUGAUGUUAAGUGUUAGAGUUGUAGUCCUACAUGUUGUCU